AACGCUAGCUACAGGCUUAACACAUGCAAGUCGAGGGGUCCGCUUCGGCAGACGACCGGCGCACGGGUGAGUAACGCGUAUCCAACCUGCCCUUCUCAUUGAGAUAGCCUUUCGAAAGAGAGAUUAAUACCGAAUAACAUAGUUUGAUUGCCUGAUUAUACUAUGAAAGCUCCGGCGGAGAAGGAUGGGGAUGCGUUCCAUUAGGUAGUAGGCGGGGUAACGGCCCACCUAGCCCACGAUGGAUAGGGGUUCUGAGAGGAAGGUCCCCCACACUGGAACUGAGACACGGUCCAGACUCCUACGGGAGGCAGCAGUGAGGAAUAUUGGUCAAUGGACGCAAGUCUGAACCAGCCAAGUAGCGUGAAGGAUGACUGCCCUAUGGGUUGUAAACUUCUUUUGCCGUAGAACAAAACAUGCCACGUGUGGCAUUUUGCGUGUAUACGUUGAAUAAGCAUCGGCUAACUCCGUGCCAGCAGCCGCGGUAAUACGGAGGAUGCGAGCGUUAUCCGGAUUUAUUGGGUUUAAAGGGAGCGUAGGUGGUUUGAUAAGCCAGCUGUGAAAUACUGCCGCUCAACGGCAGCCGUGCAGUUGGAACUGUCAGACUUGAGUGUACGGGAGGAAAGUGGAAUUCGUGGUGUAGCGGUGAAAUGUUUAGAUAUCACGAAGAACUCCGAUUGCGUAGGCAGCUUUCUACAGUACAACUGACACUGAUGCUCGAAAGUGCGGGUAUCGAACAGGAUUAGAUACCCUGGUAGUCCGCACCGUAAACUAUGGAUACUCGCUGCCGGCGAUAGACAGUCGGUGGCCAAGCGAAAGCAUUAAGUAUCCCACCUGGGGAGUACGCCGGCAACGGUGAAACUCAAAGGAAUUGACGGGGGCCCGCACAAGCGGAGGAACAUGUGGUUUAAUUCGAUGAUACGCGAGGAACCUUACCUGGGCUAGAACGGCAGAUUGCUUCUUGGGAGAGACCCCUUGAUUCUUCGGACAAUCUGUUGAGGUGCUGCAUGGUUGUCGUCAGCUCGUGCCGUGAGGUGUCGGCUUAAGUGC
rnacentral:rRNA from 1 species